rnacentral:misc_RNA from 1 species
GAGAGAGAGAGAGGGAGGCAGAGGCAGAGAAAGGGGCGGUGGGACGGCGGAGGAGAAGCCAUGGAGCACGAUGACAUCGACAUGAUUGGCUCCGACAACAACGACGCUGUGGAGUUAGACGACAUGAAGAAGCGGUUGAAAGAGAUGGAAGAUGAAGCUGCUGCUCUACGUGAGAUGCAGGCCAAGGUCGAGAAAGAAAUGAGUUCUGUCCAAGAUCCUGCAAGUGCUGCUGCAAGUCAAGCAAAUAGAGAGGAGGUGGAUUCACGGUCAGUGUUUGUUGGCAAUGUUGACUACUCAUGUACCCCAGAAGAAGUACAGCAACAUUUCCAAUCAUGUGGAACUGUAAACAGAAUCACUAUUCGCACUGAUAAGUUCGGGCA